GGGGGUAUAGCUCAGGGGCAGAGCAUUUGACUGCAGAUCAAGAGGUCCCUGGUUCAAAUCCAGGUGCCCCCU
rfam:Ovis aries breed Texel chromosome 4, whole genome shotgun sequence.